CUGAAAAUUUUAAAUGGCCGCAGUAUCCUAACUGUGCAAAGGUAGCAUAAUCAUUAGUCUUUUAAUUGAAGGCUGGUAUGAAUGGUUGGACGAGGUAUUAACUGUUUCAAAUAUAUUUAUUAUAGAAUUUUAUUUUUUAGUCAAAAAGCUAAAAUAAAAUUAAAAGACGAGAAGACCCUAUAAAUCUUUACUUUAUUAUUUAUGUUAAUUAUAUAGAUAUAUUUUGUUAUGAUAAAUAAUAAAGUUUUAUUGGGGUGAUAUUAAAAUUUAAUAAACUUUUAAUUUAAAAUUACAUAAAUUAAUGAAUUAUUGAUCCAUUAAUAAUGAUUAAAAAUUUAAGUUACUUUAGGGAUAACAGCGUAAUUUUUUUGGAGAGUUCUUAUCGAUAAAAAAGAUUGCGACCUCGAAGUUGGAUUAAGAAAAAAUUUAGG
rnacentral:rRNA from 1 species